rnacentral:rRNA from 1 species
GAUGAACGCUGGCGGCGUGCCUAAUACAUGCAAGUCGAGCGAACGGACGAGAAGCUUGCUUCUCUGAUGUUAGCGGCGGACGGGUGAGUAACACGUGGAUAACCUACCUAUAAGACUGGGAUAACUUCGGGAAACCGGAGCUAAUACCGGAUAAUAUUUUGAACCGCAUGGUUCAAUAGUGAAAGACGGUCUUGCUGUCACUUAUAGAUGGAUCCGCGCUGCAUUAGCUAGUUGGUAAGGUAACGGCUUACCAAGGCAACGAUGCAUAGCCGACCUGAGAGGGUGAUCGGCCAAACUGAAACUGAGAAACGGUCCGAAUUCCAACGGAAGGAAGCGGUGGGAAAUCUUCCGCAAUGGGCGAAGGCCUGACGGGGCAACGCGGCGGGGGUGAUGAAGGUCUUCGAAUGGUAAAACUCUGUUAUUAGGAAAGAAAAUAUGUGUAAGUAACUGUGCACAUCUGGACGGUACCUAAUAAGAAAGCAACGGCUAACUACGU